UCAUGGUCUUCCUCCGGACCCGAGGCGCAGAAAACAGGACUUGUUUUGUGCGGGAUUACUGGCGCGGCUCUCCGCUUUUUCCUUCAUUCCCCGGUUGUGACACCCGGGAGCGGGUACUGGGCCUGCAUCGGGUGCAGCCGGCGGGAACUCACCUGGAGUGUGUGAGCGGUUCCCCAAUGCAAAGAGAACGAAGUCUGAGGAGUAGGGGGCAAUCAACUAAUCUGACCAAUGAACGAAUGGUUCCUUCCGAACAUGUCAAUUGAUUGACUUAAUUGUACAUACGGGCGAAAAAUCAAUCCAACCAUCUACUGGUUCGUUUCCUAACGAA
rnacentral:rRNA from 1 species